AGGUGCGAUCAUACCAGCACUAGCGCACCGGAUCCCAUCAGAACUCUGCAGUUAAACGUGCUCUGGCGAGAGUAGUACUCGAAUGGGUGACCUCCUGGAAAGUCCUCGUGUUGCACCUC
rnacentral:rRNA from 2 species